rnacentral:rRNA from 1 species
UGGGGAAUAUUGGACAAUGGGGGCAACCCUGAUCCAGCCAUGCCGCGUGUGUGAAGAAGGCCUUUUGGUUGUAAAGCACUUUAAGCAGGGAGGAGAGGCUAAUGGUUAAUACCCAUUAGAUUAGACGUUACCUGCAGAAUAAGCACCGGCUAACUCUGUGCCAGCAGCCGCGGUAAUACAGAGGGUGCGAGCGUUAAUCGGAAUUACUGGGCGUAAAGCGAGUGUAGGUGGCUCAUUAAGUCACAUGUGAAAUCCCCGGGCUUAACCUGGGAACUGCAUGUGAUACUGGUGGUGCUAGAAUAUGUGAGAGGGAAGUAGAAUUCCCAGGUGUAGCGGUGAAAUGCGUAGAGAUCUGGAGGAAUACCGAUGGCGAAGGCAGCUUCCUGGCAUAAUAUUGACACUGAGAUUCGAAAGCGUGGGUAGCAAACAGGAUUAGAUACCCUGGUAGUCCACGCCGUAAACGAUGUCUACUAGCCGUUGGGGUCCUUGAGACUUUAGUGGCGCAGUUAACGCGAUAAGUAGACCGCCUGGGGGAGUACGGCCGCAAGGUUAAAACUUAAAUGAAUUGACGGGGUCAUAGCUGUUUCCU